AUUGAACGCUGGCGGCAUGCUUUACACAUGCAAGUCGAACGGUAACAGGCCGCAAGGUGCUGACGAGUGGCGAACGGGUGAGUAAUGCAUCGGAACGUGCCCAGUCGUGGGGGAUAACGCAGCGAAAGCUGUGCUAAUACCGCAUACGAUCUAUGGAUGAAAGCGGGGGACCGUAAGGCCUCGCGCGAUUGGAGCGGCCGAUGUCAGAUUAGGUAGUUGGUGGGGUAAAGGCUCACCAAGCCAACGAUCUGUAGCUGGUCUGAGAGGACGACCAGCCACACUGGGACUGGUACACGGCCCAGACUCCUACGGGAGGCAGCAGGGGGUAAUUUUGGACAAUGGGCGCAAGCCUGAUCCAGCAAUGCCGCGUGCGGGAAGAAGGCCUUCGGGUUGUAAACUGCUUUUGUACGGAACGAAAAGGUUUGGGUUAAUACCCUGGGCCGAUGACGGUACCGUAAGAAUAAGCACCGGCUAACUACGUGCCAGCCGCCGCCGUAACAC
rnacentral:rRNA from 1 species